rnacentral:sRNA from 1 species
CAGUGGGUNUUGAUAAUUGCUCCGGUGAUGGAUUGAUUCCAUAUAAGCACGUGGGACUUCUUAGAGGGACUGGUAUUCUGAUUAAAAGUACACGAGGAAGAGCAAUAACAGGUCUGUGAUGCCCUAAGAUGUCCGGGGCCGCACGCGUGCUACAAUGACGAUGCAAGUGAGCAUGAUUCGCCUGGUCCGCAAGGAUUGGGAAACCUGUUCAAUCAUCGUCGUGACUGGGAUUGGGGUUUGUAAUUAUCCCCCAUGAACGAGGAAUUCCUAGUAAGCACAAGUCAUAAGCUUGUGCUGAUUACGUCCCUGCCCUUUGUACACACCGCCCGUCGCUACUACCGAUUGAAUGGUUUAGCAAGGUCAUUGGAUUGGCUUAUCGCGGUUCACGCUGCCUUAAGCUGAGAAGAUGACCGAACUUGAUCAUUUAGAGGAAGUAAAAGUCGUAACAAGGUUUCCGUAGGUGAACCUGCGGAAGGAUCAUUAUAUAUUUAUUCCUACGUUGUGUGUGUGGUCAUCAGUUUCUGCUGGCCAUGCUACAAUCAAGGUUCUUCGGAGUGAACUCCAGGUUCCUUUUACGAAACAGAAGUGGUCGCACCGGCAACUGAGUACAACUCUGUUGUACAGGUGGCUGAAUGCGAUCGCACUUGCCGAUUUCUGGGCUCAGUACUAUUGCUGCCAUUCCUGUAGCAGGGGGUGGCUAUGGCACUAGUACUGUUCACUAUUUAUUCCCACAAUUGGCCUGCUACACCAUCGUAUAAUUAUUACCAACCUUUCCUAACUUAACCCGUACUGUUGAAGUAUAGAUGACCGUGCAAACGGCCAUCCCUUCAAUAGUCUCUCGGAUUAUAACAGGGAUUUAUCCUUGCAUAAUCCAUUGGGCGCCUAAAA